UUUCGCAAUGCCCGAAAGGGUGACGAAGCGACGCCGCGUGCGGGAAGAAGGCCUUCGGGUUGUAAACCGCUGUCGGGAGUUAAGAAAUGUAAGGAUGUUAAUAGCAUCUUUGCUUGACUAAGGCUCCGGAGGAAGCCACGGCUAACUCUGUGCCAGCAGCCGCGGUAAUACAGAGGCGGCAAGCGUUGUUCGGAAUUAUUGGGCGUAAAGAGCACGUAGGCGGCUAUGUAAGUCGGUUGUGAAAGCCUUCCGCUCAACGGGAGAACAGCAGCCGAUACUGCAUGGCUUGAGUGCGGGAGGGGAGAGUGGAACUUCUGGUGGAGCGGUGAAAUGCGUAGAUAUCAGAAGGAACGCCGGCGGCGAAAGCGGCUCUCUGGCCCAUAACUGACGCUGAGUGUGCGAAAGCUAGGGGAGCAAACGGGAUUAGAUACCCCGGUAGUCCUAGCCGUAAACGAUGGGCACUAAGUAGAGGGGUUUU
rnacentral:rRNA from 1 species